rnacentral:rRNA from 1 species
UACGGGGGGGGCAAGCGUUGUUCGGAAUUACUGGGCGUAAAGGGCUCGUAGGCGGCCAACUAAGUCGGACGUGAAAUCCCUCGGCUUAACCGGGGAACUGCGUCCGAUACUGGAUGGCUUGAGUUUGGGAGAGGGAUGCGGAAUUCCAGGUGUAGCGGUGAAAUGCGUAGAUAUCUGGAGGAACACCGGUGGCGAAGGCGGCAUCCUGAACCAACACUGACGCUGAUGAGCGAAAGCCAGGGGAGCAAACGGG